rnacentral:rRNA from 1 species
CCCCCAACCGGCGGGACAUGCGGAUUAAUUCGAUGCAACGCGAAGAACCUUACCAAGGCUUGACAUGGACCGGACCGCCGCAGAAAUGUGGUUUCCCCUUUGGGGCUGGUUUACAGGUGGUGCAUGGUUGUCGUCAGCUCGUGUCGUGAGAUGUUGGGUUAAGUCCCGCAACGAGCGCAACCCUCGUUCUAUGUUGCCAGCACGUGAUGGUGGGGACUCAUAGGAGACUGCCGGGGUCAACUCGGAGGAAGGUGGGGACGACGUCAAAUCAUCAUGCCCCUUAUGUCUUGGGCUUCACGCAUGCUACAAUGGCCGGUACAAAGGGUUGCGAUACUGUGAGGUGGAGCUAAUCCCAAAAAGCCGGUCUCAGUUCGGAUUGGGGUCUGCAACUCGACCCCAUGAAGUCGGAGUCGCUAGUAAUCGCAGAUCAGCAACGCUGCGGUGAAUACGUUCCCGGGCCUUGUACAACCCGCCCGUGA